GAAUUUUGGACAAUGGGCGAAAGCCUGAUCCAGCAAUGCCGCGUGCAGGAUGAAGGCCUUCGGGUUGUAAACUGCUUUUGUACGGAACGAAAAGCUUUUGGUUAAUACCCUGGCGUCCUGACGGUACCGUACGAAUAAGCACCGGCUACACACUGCCCAGCCGCCGCGGUAAUACGUAGGGUGCAAGCGUUAAUCGGAAGUACUGGGCGUAAAGCGUGCGCAGGCGGUUUUGUAAGACAGAGGUGAAAUCCCCGGGCUCAACCUGGGAACUGCCUUUGUGACUGCAAGGCUAGAGUACGGCAGAGGGGGGUGGAAUUCCGCGUGUAGCAGUGAAAUGCGUAGAUAUGCGGAGGAACACCGAUGGCGAAGGCAACCCCCUGGGCCUGUACUGACGCUCAUGCACGAAAGCGUGGGGAGCAAAC
rnacentral:rRNA from 1 species